GUAUUCUGCACGGACUGCUGGGCAGCACUAGCACUCUGGAGAAGGUCUGCCGCUGUCUGCACUUUCCUGGUGAGAAUCCCCAAUGACAGUCCCACUUUUCAGUGGAGGAGAACAAAAUAUCUGUCUACUCUCUUGAAGAAGGACACGGCUUUGAUCAUAUUUGUUCAGGCUUGACUUGGCCGGAGGUUUUAGGUUCUUAGUCUCAAGUCAGCAGUCUCUCUCUCUCUCUCUCUCUCUCUCUCUCUCUCUCUCUCUGAAACACACACACACAGAGACGCACACACACACAAGCACACACAUACACAAGCGCAAAUCCUCUCUUUCUCUUUCUCUCAUUUCCCGUCAUAGGUUCUAUGCAGGCAGAUGAGUGUCACAGCUGUAACUGAGGCACAGAGCAGUACACACAGUGGAGCCGAUUUCCGCGAUGGCGAGAGGGGGCACCGGAGGUGACAACAAUAACAAGACUGUCCUUCGGACAAGUUUUAGAUUCUCAGGAUGAUGGAGUGAGUGAUGGAAUAGGUUGCCAACUGUAGUUACUCCACUCAGCACAGAAUGGCUGCGGGGAAAUAUAAUCAGACAUGCCCAAAGAAGUCUGCUUAGGGUGAAACAAAUACCUUUGAGGUUUAAAUCAGGAAGGAGAGACUGUUUCUACAGGUGUCAUACAAAAAUCAAUACUGAGCCAAGGAUUAUUGGAUCCCAUAGAACCACGGAGACUUGGUAGUGAAAUUCUUCCAAAGGCAGAUGGUGUUCCUAGGUUUGGAAAUAUAAAUCCCAUGGGAAGUCAGCUGAAGACCAUUUUAUGCAUCACUCAUCCUGUUAGAGCCCUGUGCUGUUCUGUCUCUCUAUAAGACUGGCUGAAACCACCACGGUUGUUUACAAUUUAUGCUCUAACUUUGGAUCACCUAGUUAAUACUCUAACUCCGAUUAUUACCAAAGACAAUGUUCUAUAAAAGAUAUUGUCUAUUAGAAGGAUGCUUCUGCAUUAUUAAUAAAAUCACAGGGAAAAUGCAACAUUUUGGAUGUCACAUCUGAUAAGUUGGCAGUUAAAGAACAGAAACAGCAAUAAGACUGCGUGGCUACAUUUUCCCAGUGCCACCAACUGGGAUUUAAGCUGACUAACAUUUUGAAAGCCCAGCCCAUUUCAUUCACAGCAGGAUGGCAGUGGGUGACUGAUCGUACCCGCCAGCUGGCUAAUGUCAUAAUUAACAAAGUUGCUACUACAUCUGCAAAGUUUAAUCGAAAAAUUUGCCAGUGAUAUGAUGGCCUUGUCACAGAGAUCACAAGGGACACGGAGUUGACUUUUGCUCAAGGUGGAACGACAGAGCUGUGUAGGCAAGAUGAGAAAUUGCGAACUUGUUCGGCCAAAGGAGGCUAAUAAUGAAGGGGCCGGGAAGGAGGCCAGUGCUACCAGGGUUAUCUCACAACCUCAGAUGCUGGAUAAGUCGACGGAGGCAGAAUCGCUUUGGGAUGACAUUCAGAAAGCCUGGAGUGAUUACUUGCAAGAGAAAAGCCUACCUAUUCUUUCCAAGGUGCAGGAAUAUUCCCCUGACCUGCUCAUCCAGUGGUCCAGUAAUGAAUUACUGGAGACCUGCCUUAGACAAAGAAUGCACUCGGAGCCCCAACACACCUAAAGCCAUGCUUUGAAGGAUCUGCCAAGCUCACUUUUAAUCAUGAGAAAGAAAUUACCCACACGGAGUCAGCAGAAAAUGAGAAAGUAGAGCUCGUGCUGUGAAUAAUUCCAGCAAGUGCCAAGGGGCUAGUUGAGGAAUGGCUUCAUGAGAACAUGCUCUAGGGGAACUAUUAAUAGCCCACCAGUCGGGUAGGCAGCAUUCAAUCCUUCUAUGCCUUCUUUCGCCACCUGUUGAGGUCUUUCUUCUGAAACAAAGAAGAAAUAGACAAAUCAGACUUGCCCUCUUGGAAAUGUGGUCCAGAUUUCUCUACUCCCAAGCUCCAAAAAAGGUAUACAUUGGAUGGGCUAGAUCAACUCCUCCUGAGAGCCAUAAAUCCGCCAAGAGUUGUUUUCCAUGUAAGGGUGUGGUACAAUGGGGAACACCUGAUGUUGGAGGAAAGCAGGAGGACUUUAGAGUGGAGUUGCAUUCUAAUCUCUCUGCCGCUUCAACUAUGUGACCUGGGGCAAAUGAUAUAAACUCUAUGAGCCUCUUUCCUUAUCUUUAAAAUGAAGAGAAGUAAUACCUACCUUGUAGGGCUGUUGUGAGGAUUAAAUGAAGUAAUGCAUACAGUGCCUAACAAAGUAUUUAACAUCAUAUUUUUUAAAAGCUCAUGAAAUAUUAGUUUUUCUUCCUUCCCCUCUUUCUAUUUUCUCUCCUGUUCCCUUUUCUCUCCCUCCUCUGCCCUCUCCUUCCUUCAGAUGUUAGUCUAAAACAGCACCUUGGAUCUAAGCAGCACCUUUGAGAAAGAAAAGACUGCUUCAAGAAUGUCUAGUUGCACCUCCUUUCCGUAUGUGGCCUAAAUGCCUAGGUUGGAUCAAUAGUUUAAUUUUUUUAUUGAACUGUUUAAUAUUGACUAUGGACUUACAUUCACUUUUACUGUUUUCUGUAUAUUUACUUUUGCUUGAAGUGUUUUAAUAUUGACUAUUUACCUCUGCUCAUUUUUAUUGAUUUUCUGUAUUUUUUCAAUGAAAAUUAUAAUAAAAAUUAUUUUUGUUA
rnacentral:lncRNA from 1 species